rnacentral:rRNA from 1 species
GACGAACGCUGGCGGCGUGCUUAACACAUGCAAGUCGAACGGAAAGGCCCCCAUCUUGGUGGGGGUGCUCGAGUGGCGAACGGGUGAGUAACACGUGGGUGAUCUGCCCUGUACUUCGGGAUAAGCUUGGGAAACUGGGUCUAAUACCGGAUAGGACCAUGGUUUAGUGUCUCAUGGUGGAAAGAUUAUUGUUUUGGUGCAGGAUGAGCUCGCGGCCUAUCAGCUUGUUGGUGGGGUAAUGGCCUACCAAGGCGUCGACGGGUAGCCGGCCUGAGAGGGUGGACGGCCACAUUGGGACUGGGAUACGGCCCAGACGCCUACGGGAGGCAGCAGUGGGGAAUAUUGCACAAUGGGCGCAAGCCUGAUGCAGCGACGCCGCGUGGGGGAUGACGGCCUUCGGGUUGUAAACUCCUUUCGUUAGGGACGAAGCCGCACUUUUUUUGGGUGUGGUGACGGUACCUUUGUUAAGAAGCACCGGCUAACUACGUG